rnacentral:rRNA from 1 species
GACUCUCGGCAACGGAUAUCUCAGCUCUCGCAUCGAUGAAGAACGCAGCAAAAUGCAAUACUUGGUGUGAAUUGCAGAAUCCCGUGAAUCAUCAAGUUUUUGAACGUAAGUUGCACCCUACGCCUUUCGGCCAAGGGCAUGCCUGCCUAGGUGUCA